rnacentral:lncRNA from 1 species
AUAGACUUUGCUAAUGCAGCCAAAUUGAUCUCCAUCAGGAUGUGGCAAGCUUAACUCAAUAGCUAAUGGCUUCAAAGUCCCAUCAUUUUCUAAGAAAAGUAGUGUUCUGCUUGAAUAAGUUUUUGUGGAAGUUGUGUUUAUACGCCUCAGGUACGGCAUCAAUGCAUCGUGGUGGUCUAAUAUGAAUAGCUUGUUGUUCUUGAUUGCCUACAACACCAAAUACUUUUCAGUAAUUAUUUUCGAAUAAGAGUAUUGUGAGAAUGUGAACACAUUCUCACAAGUAUAACAAGAACAUAUGUUGAAUUAAAUAAGUCAAUAGCAUUACCUCAUCUAUGCUCAGUCCUUUUAAGUUAUGUUCUAUGUGUUCUUUGGUUAUUUGACUUGUUUGAUCCCCAUAUGCUUUUUGGUCUAGCUUGCUAGCGGGUGGAAAUUCCUGCAGUUUAUUAAGGAAUAACAAUGAUUAAGGAUGAAAGUCAAAGUAAUAUAAAUUCAAAAGUAGCUUCGAGUUUUCCAUUUUCUUAAAUAAUAAUAAAUAAAAAAACAAAUGUACACAAUAGAUCAUGAAAGCUUAAGAUUACUUGGAGACGACGAAUGGCGACAGGAUUUACUCCAGCCAGCAUUUCUCUUGCAAAUUCUUCAUCAGUUCUCCAUGCCGACUUAUUGUCUAGUAAAAAUCAUUAGAAGACCUGAGUCGGUUAAGAGAAAGCAGUAUAUAUGAAGGCACAUAGACUGGUAAACUAUAUACCUUGGAUCACUUGAGGCACUGGGAAUUUGAGGAAGUUUUCACCAUCAGUUGGAAAAAGUUCCUUGAACAGCUCUUCAUGUAUGCUAUCCCUAAUAUAUUUUAGUAUACCAUCAGGCAACUCUAUACCUCCUUCAUAGAGCAUAAGUAUUUCUUGCAUGUUGUUGAACUCAUUGUGGCUGCCAACAAGUAGAGCUGCUAGCUCAGGUUUAAGGACCUGAGGUAUGGUUUUCAAACCAUAAGCAAGCAAGUCUGACAAUUUUAAGGGACCAAAUCGUUCGUCUCUUGGAACGUAUAUAUUUAGGCUCAUAAUAAGCUUCAGCUGGCUCUCAGUGUUAGGAUCUAUCAAGACAAAAUCAGAAAAUUCUUCAUGACAACCAUUCUUUCUGAAUGAGCUAAAAGUAAUAGAAAUCCAUAUUUCCCGUUUGUCAUUUCUAAAGACUGAAAAUAUACCAAGUUUAGCAACUAACCUGUCUUAGUUGGUGGUCUUCCUGUUCUUCCCCUGCGAGGAUAAGGGAACUCACUUGACCCUCCCAGAACUGGACGGGCAUACUCCUGACCCUUAUCUGGAUUCCCCAAAUCAUUGUAAUAGGCAUAGUCAUAGACCCUGUCCCAUUCCUGAAGCUCUCUUGUUUUAUCAUCAUCAUCUCCUCUCAAGUUUACUAGCUCUUCUUCUCUGAAUUUCUGUAGUGGCUUUGGUGUGUCACUUGAAAGAUAAGUCUGCACAAAUAUACAAAUCAACCUACUAGUUUACCAUUUUCAGUAUUUCUAGCAGUCCAUAAACUACAACUAAAUGAGUUUGUCUUAAUGGACUUCAAUCUACUAGUUUACCUUGUUUGUGAAGAAAAUGCGGUCUUUUUUGUACUUGUCAGCGGGGUACACCCAUGAGUUGCAGACAAAGUGGAUUCGACCUUCACCAGGAACAUCUUCAAGCGUGAGUGUCUUCAAGUAAAACUCACUGUGAUGAUCAUUUCUAAUUAUAAAUGCUCCUGGGACCCCAAUCUCCUCAUCCCAAUCAAAAGUAAUAUCAAAUGCAGAGUCCCCUGCUGUUAAGGGGGUGAUUGUGGUAAUCCAAUUUUCCAAAUAUGCUGGCUUUCCAACUUUUCCUGGGGACCCCUUUUCUACAAAAGGAGAUCAAAUGAAAAAUGGAUCAAUAGAUGUUCAAUUAUAAGACCUCCAAAUACUGGUUAUUUUUUCUCUGUUCUAAAUUGAGAUGUUCUGUUUUCUCUUUUGAGGUUCUGGUACUAAUAACUACAACUAACUUGGAACCAUUAAAUAAGCAUGGAUGCUAACAAAUUAACAAGUAAACUAGAAGCCCAUGUAUCAAUGAACUUAAAAGACAAAGUAGUAUUCAGCUCUCACCAGGGUCACCAUUGACUGAACUAAUGAGCUGCAGAGAAACCGCUUUGCCUACCAGCUCAUCAACACGAUCGAGAACCGAUGCUGUAAGGUCGUUCAAGUCCAGAACAUUCUUCUUCAUCAACACCACCCUCCCUUUGAUCUUCUUGUCCUCAUAUUUGGGGUGUGGAUCAAUGGUGUUGUUCUGGGAUGCCUUGGCAGCUGUCGAAGCCAAAGGCAACGGUUGAGAUCGUGUAACAUCAUCCAUGCUCAAGAAACCAGGCAAUUUAGGCAACAGUAGUGCCCUGUGAUUGAUUGAUGUGAGGUUGUUGGGUGUUGCUACUGCAACUACUUUUCUCUUGAAGCUAAAAGGGGUUAAGAGAUGCUUGCAAUGUAACAUCUUCUAUCUGAUUCAAGAACGAAAAGAACUUAGUAGAAGAUGGUUUGAAGAUCUCAGCAUGAAGAAUAUGAGAAGGGUGUGUGUAGUAUUUAUUAAGGUCAGUGAGUUCAUUAAUUGUUCAAUAUAUAGAAUAGUAGUAUAGGUGACCAUUUCUUUUAGAAAGACUCGUAUACUACUUGCCCUGCAUGUGGAGGUCUUUUCGAAGUUACCAAUCUAAUCCAGCUACGUUUUCCUCCAUUUCUGCGGCUGACUUAAUGACCCGUCCUUUUCUAUGGAUUAUAUGAUUCAAGAAACCUCGCAGGGGCUUGUAGUUCAAGUAAUUAAGAAUAAUAAUGUAUCCUAGAUCUUAAGUCCAGUUCUUCUCUCUCCAAUAUUUCUUUGUAUCAAAAAAACCUCAACCUAUUUUUUUCUUGGUGAAUACCUCCAACCCACUUGACCAAAUAACCAAAUAUAGACAUCAGAUCAAAAAAAAAAAAAAAAAACAAAUAUAGACAAAUUUUAGCAAGACUUGAUUCUCUAAUAACAUCUGUAUUUGUUGAACAACUCCUGUCCUUUUCUGUUGUCUAGCUAGUGGCCCUUCGUCUACAAUUUCCACCGCCCCGACAGAAUUUCAACUCCUCUGUUUUGUAGUUAUUAGUUGUUCAAACCCUCUUUGUUUAUAUCUUUUGUGUCUCUAUUAUUUGCCAUGUGUAUGCAUAGUAUUGGAUGAUUUCAAUUAUGCUCAUACUCAGGCUUAAAAUGUAAUUAGCCACGACCAAAAAACACGUCCUUACCUUUCACGUAGUUGACAGAAACUCAAUCUCUCUCGCUCACACUGUAUGUGCCUAGGGUUUCUUUCAACAAGUGCCCAAGCAAUUAACUACGACUAAAAACAACAUCAGAAUGGAGGAUCUAAUCGCCCUCAACAAGGAGGUCGACAAGCGUUCACCAGAAGAACGUGUAUCUUUCUCUCUUCUUCUUCUUCUUCCCCUUUGUUGGCCUUCUUAUCAAUUUACUAAAAAGAAAAUCAUUGAUCACUGUAAUAUAUUGUCUCUCUCAUGCACAACACAAGUGGGUUCUAAACUUUUAACUGCUGACCCAAAUAACUCUUACAUUUUGAUCAUAGAUAUCUUAUGAAAAAUAAAAAUUAUGGUAAGUAUGCAAGCUCACAUGGGUGUUGUAAUUCUUCGUUGGUGUGUUUGGGCCACUCAGAUAAGUAAAACAACCAACUCUGAAAUACAAGUAAAAGGGAUUAGACUAUUUCAAAUUGUUAAGGCGGUUGUGUAUGAAGUUAUUCCAUUCAUGAGAUUUCUAAAAUAUUAUUAUUACUAUGAUAAUUAUGUAAAUGAACAAAGCAUCUUACCUAUGAGUCUUGAUAUUUUUUUUUCACAGCAACAGAUUUGAAGAAGCUUGGUCGAUGCUGAACUCUGCUUUAGACGAGUAUGACAUUUUCACGUGAAUUGGAUGUAUGUUAUAAUAAAUGUUGUUUGUAAAUUUAUUGACUUUUUGUAAAUAUGAACUAUGGAUCAGUGGUUUUUUUUUUUUUUUUUUUCAAUCUAUGUAUGGUUUUGUGCUCAUACUGAUUACUUUUAGUUAUGCACAUAUUAAGUUUUUCUUUUUAAAAUCAUGGUUAGGAUGAGAAUGUCAUCACAUUCAUGACAACCAAGGCAAAGGACCCAUAUGCUAUUCUCAAGGCUAGAUAUCUUGUUCUACUUUUGUCAGCAGAAGUUCCUCCUCAAAUAAUAGGGUCCCCUACGAAAUUUUUUUCAACGAUCCAAACUAUCUAUUUUUUAAGUAUAUAUUUAUAGAUUAUCCAUGCAAAAAAUUAGACAAAUUCCGUUUCGACAUCCAAUUGGGUCCUACAAAAUCAAUGAACAUGGUGCUUCAAUAAAAUACUUGAAUUUCAAUAAUUUAAUUGAGUAGUGAAAUGAUAUCGGAUUUAAGUGAUUUUUUGUAGAGAUGAAUCUUUCAAAUAAGCUAAUUUGAAAGAUCUCCCAAUGGAAACUCUCUAUGUAUCUAAAGGUAUUGUACACUGUAGCCAAUUUAUUUACCAGGCCCCACCCUGAGGCAGGGCGAGAAGGGCUACUGCCCUAGGCCCCAUCUCAAGGAGGGCCCCAAAAUAUUUAUUUAUUUUUUCUUUUAAAAGUUGCUUCUAAAAUAGUUUCUUAAUAUGAGGUACAGUAGUAUACUGGUAUAUAUAAAGGUCUAGAGUAUAUAUAAGAAGCUAAGAACAUCAAGAUUUCUGAAGUUCCAUCUUGCAUUAAUGGUUUCUCUUUGAUUUUAUUCAAACUAAAUCUAUGUUCAAGUCCUAAUAGUGUUAAGAAAUAAAACUUUUUUUUUUAAUGAUGCUUGAUGAGUUGAUGUUCUGAUUAUAAAUGUAUCAAAUGGACUAUCUUUGGGAAAAAAAAAGGACUAUAAAUGACUUUGGAAGGACUAAUUUGUGGUUUAUAUAAUUAACAUAUAUUGUUCUACCCUCUUCCUUUGGUGCAUUUUACUACUUAAAAUGUCAUAUUUUUCUUCCAAUCUCUUUCAAUUUUUUUUUCUUGUGUUCAAUCAUUGCUUUAUAUACAAAAAUCCACAAGUAAAAUGAAAAUUUUUUUUAAGGCCUAAUUUUUGUUACUAGUUGUAAAAGGUCUACAUUAUAUAUACACACGUAUAAAUGAAAACAAAUAUUUUUACUUAUUUGUUUUACUUGUAAGUAGUCUUGCAUUUAUAGGGUCUUCUUUUUGACUUUGCCCUGGGCCACCAAAAUCUUAGGGCCGGCCUUGUUAUUUACAAUGCGUUUUUGCGACUGUAAUAUUGUAGUUCAUAUUACUCAUAAAGAGUGCAUUAAUUGUAGUUAACUAUACUAAUAGCAGCUUCAAAGGCUUCCCACUUAGAUUGAGACACUGUUGGGAAUUCCCCUGCCAGUAAGUCCUUCGCUAGUAGGAAAUAGCAAAGUGUAGGGCACCUUCACCGGUCCAACUCGGUUCUUCAGUUUCUCAUCAUUGUUCAUACUUGUAAUUCUGUCCUCAAUUUCAGCCAGUUUCUUUCCAAAUUUAUCAAAGGCUUUCAAUGGUUCUGUGUCUGCUGUCCAUUCAGGAGUGUCUCUCUGCCCCAAAUACACUUCAUCAGUAGAAUGCCUUGACAGAAUUUCAAUAAGGGCAAUGCCAAGCACUGUCUGCAGCUGAGCAGUAAUUGUUUUCAAGAAAACUGUAUCAGGGCUGGAUUCGAGCUCUUUGUACUCAGGAGUUCCCUUCUCAGGCAUGAAUUUUCGGCUUAUAGUAGGGCGGUUGGGGAGGUAGCCUGCAUAAGGGUACUGUCCAAAGUUGACAGCUGCAUGGAGAGCAGAAGCAGUCCAUAUGAUGAUAGUGCAUGUUUCUACUAGGUCUUCGCGAGUCUGCAUUUUAGGCCACCAGGGCUCAUCUUUUUUGUCACCAUGGCCUUCCUCUACAAGCUCCUUCCACCAGGAUUGGAGUUCAGUGUCUUUUUGAAUUAUGUCAUCAGUCUUGUAGUAGAAAGAGCAACAGUCUUCAACCCAAGUUUUAAUUGCAAACCAGAUUUCAAUCCCAUCAACAGCAUAUGGAUAGUCCUCGAUCAGUAGGCGAAGACCAUGUGGAGAAUUUGCAUCCUUGAUUGCAACUCCUCUGUUGAUCAAAGGCAAAGCAAUGUAAUUAGAAUAAGGAAUGGAUAUUUAUUACUUAUAUUGUGCUCAUUUGAGUUACUUAUGCAGUAGCUAAUAACUCAAAAAGUGUAGAGUUUUGUUUACCUCUUGAUGAGAUCUUCAGGGAAAGCUUGCUCAGUGAAAACCCAAUCCUUAUAAACCACUGAAGACAUCUCCAUGGCAUACCUAGCUGGAAAAACUGUCGUCUCCAGAACGCCGCCAGCAUUAAUCAGGAUUUGCCUGGCAAAUGCAUUUAUGUUCAUGGUGUCACGGAAGUGAGGAUGCAGAAGUUUGUAAAUUGGAUGAACCACGCUUAGCUGUCUGUUUGUAGCUAUUACAACUGGCUCACACACUGCAUGGGUGUUCAACCUGUAGGCAAAAAAUUAAAGGAUUAUCAGAAACCCAUUCAAAGUAAUAUGAUGAAUUUAAUUUUAAAGCUUUCUUUGUUUGAAAGAUUAAUACCAGUGACUGAUAAGUUGAUGAUAUCCAGAGUCAUUUACAGCCACAUAAGCUUUAGCCAGUUGCCAUAUGGAGCCUUCUACACCUUCUUCAGAUGGUGUAUAUACUUUACUAAUGCGACCAAAUCGAUCUCCAUCAGGAUGAGGCAAGCUUAAUUCAAUCACCAAUGGCUUCAAAGUUCCAUCACUUUUCAAGAAAAGGAUUGUUCUGCUAGCAUAGAUCUUGUUCGAAGUUGAGUUUAUCCGCCUCAGGUAUGGCAUCAAUGCAUCAUGAUGAUCUAAUAUGAAUAACUUGUUCUGCUUGAACGCCUAUCCAACCAAAUUCAUUUUCAUCAUUAUGAAAUGAUAUAAAAUCAACAUAAGCUAAUUGCAAUGUAAAGGAAGCAAAUCCAAGAUAUUACCUCAUCCACUGUUAGUCCAUCCAUGGUAUUCCCUAUAUCUUGUUCUGUUAUUGUACUAGUUUGAUCACCGUAAACUUUUGGGUCUAGUUUGCUUGCUGGUGGAAAUUCCUGCAGUUCCGUUAGAAGCAGAUAUGGUUAAAGAUGAACGAAAUUGACCCUCGAAAGUUUUGUUUUCUUUUUGUCCAUUAUCAUUGCAAAACAUCAUACAAAAAUGUUGUGAAGAUUACUUGGAGACGACGGAUGUUGACAGGGUUCACUCCAGCCAGCAUUUCUCUGGCAAAUUCUUCAUCUGUCCUCCAAGCAGAUUUAUCCUCUGCUCCAAAUCAUUAAAACAUCACAAUUAGAUAAAAGGAACUAGUACAUGAUAUGGUAGGCUAUUGCUUAAAGACUCUCAAUUUAGAAUUUAAUAUUGGUGGAACCAUAUACCUUUGAUCACUUGAGGCAUGGGGAAUCUGAGCAAUUGUGCACUGUCAGUUCGGAAAAUUUCCUUGAGCAUCUCUGCAGGGAUGUUGUCUCCGAUAUCCUUCAAUAAACCUUCUGGCAAGGGAAUGCCUCCUUCAUAGAGUUUAAGAACAUCCUCAAAGCUGUCGAACUCGUUAGGAGUCUUAUCAAACAGGGCUUCUAGCUCCGGUCUAAUGAAUUGAGCUAUGGAUUUCAGUGCAUAAGCCAGGAAGUCUGAUAACUUCAAGUGUCCAAAUCGUUCAUCUCUUGGCACAUAAAUGUUUAAGCUCAUAAGAAGUGGCAACCUACUCUCGCUGUUAGAAUCUAUUGGAAUAAGAUCAGAAAAAUCUUAGUGAUAAUUACAACAUCAGUUAUUUAAAAUCCAAAUUAGAAUAUCAACUUUUACAGUAGAACAAUACAAAAUAAUAAUAAGAUCCUUCUUGUGACUGCUAAUCAAUGCUUUGAGGAAGAAAAUAUAGAGAGAGAUAUUUAAAUGGCUAACCUGUCUCUGUUGCUGGUCGGCCAGUUCUUCCCCUGCGAGGGUAAGGGUACUUGCUAGACCCUCCCAGCGUAGGACGGGCGUAUUUGGGACCCUUAUCAGGGUUCCCUAGAUCAUUGUAGUAAGCAUAGUCAUAGACCCUGUCCCAUUCCUGGAGCUCUCCCUUUCCAUCUCCUCUCAAAUGUACUAGUUCUUCUUCUCUGUAUUUUUGCAGCGGCAAUGGUGUUUCACUUGGGAGAAAUGUCUGCACAAAUAUAUUGCAGGCAUGAACUUUUGUCUUUAACUUACAAUACAAGUCACUAAUAUACUCAUAACAUACUAGGCUUGCACUAAGAAGUUAGAACUGCCAUCAGCUACAAUGAAUGGUGUGAAUUAUUCGUUACCUUGUUAACGAAGAAAACACGGUCCUUCGUGUAUUUUUCUGCAGGAUACACCCAUGAGUUGCAAACAAAGUGGACCCGGCCCUCACCAGGAACAUCUUCAAGGGUGACAGUCUUAAGGAAGAAUUCAGUGUGAUGAUUGUUUAUUAUUAAGAAGGCUCCUGGAACUCCUAUUUCGUCUUCCCAGUCAAAGGUAACCUUGAAUGCAGACUCUCCUGCUGUUAAAGGAGUGAUUGUGGUGAUCCAGUCUUCCAGAUAUGCUGGAUUUCCAAGUUUCCCCUGAAACCCUUUUUCUACAAAAACACGUUAGUUCAGAAAAUAAUUGUAUAUCAGGUCUUAGUUGGAGCCCGCCAUUUUAUGCAAGUUGCUAUAAUUGUCAAUGCAUGUCAAGGUCUCAUAACUCAUAAACUUAGUUUGAGAAAUAACUGCCGCUGUUUUUGUUGGUGUAUAGGUGUAGCUGCUGUGAUGGAAUUAGAAUAUGAAGGUUCUAUUCUUGUUAGGAAGGCUGCCUUGGAUCAUAGUCCAAGUGUACAGCAGAGAAUGUAAUAGCAUUUUGCCACCUGUCAUUAUCUUAUAGGGUAAUGAUUGAAUGGCUAGAUUUAGUGAUGUAAUAGGGAAUAUCUCCUCCCUAACGGUUUUUGUCAGUGUCAUGAUAUAUACAUGUUUUGGUGCUGGGCUGAUAAAGCUAGCAUUCUUCUAAAAGCUCUCUCUCUCUCACACACAGAAAUCUGACCUCUCUUUACUCAAAAGCUCUCUGCAUUUUCAUUGAGAUUUAUUACAUGUUUUGAUUGAAUCUAUAUGCAUGAUAAUGUUCUGAAUAUGCUAACAGUUUUUUCAGAACAUUCAAACACAUCCCAAAAAGAAUUGGUUCUGAAUGAAAACCAUAUAAUCUAAAAGUCUCAAAAGCUAUGCCAACAGCCAACUACAUGGAGCUUCAUUUUCAGGUUAACUGGUAGCUAGACUGGUAGUUGGCGUUCACAGGUGAGGAUAAGAUUAACUUUCCUGUCUAAUCACUUCAUGACAUGGCCAUGAUUUAAAAAUCAUUCUCACAAGCUUAAUUAUGCCACUUAUUGAAAACUAAACUGGUUUUUUAAUCAUACUUUUUGUAACCCAAUUUUCCAAAUAUGCUGGCUUUCCAACUUUUCCUUGCGACCCCUUUUCUACAUAAACAGAUCAAAUUCAAGAAAUGUUCAAUUACAAGACCUCCAGAUCAAAUUGAGAUGUUCUGUUUAUCUCUUUUGUGGUUAUGGUGUUAAGAUGUGUGAAAACAGCAUAUUUAAAAAGAUUAUAUAUUUACUUCAAAAACACUAUAAUAAUUACUAGUAACUUGGCACCAUUAAAUCCCAUGUAAAAUCAUUGAAGCUAAUUAAUCUAGAAGCAAACUAAAAGGUAAAGAGCAUUCUCACCAGGGUCACCCUUAACGGAACUAAUGAGCCGCAGAGAAACCGCUUUGCCUAACAGCUCAUGAACACGAUCAAGAACCGAUGCUUUAAAAUCGUUCAAGUCCAGAACAUUCUUCUUCAUCAACACCACUCUCCCUUUGAUCUUCUUGCCCUCAUGACCUGUCUCAAACUUAGUUUUCUCUUCCUCCAUUUCUUUGGGGUGUGGAUCAAUGGUGAUGUUCUGGGAUGUCUUGGCAGCUGUCGAAGCCGAAGUCAACGGUUGAGAUCGUGUAACAUAAGUCAUGCACAAGAAACGAGGCAUUUUCAUAAAACUCGUCGGCAACAGAACUAGUCUGUGAUUGACAAAUGUUACAUGAUCUGGUUUGUUGACUGUUGCUGCAACAACUGAGUUCAACUGAGCUCUACAUGGAGCUUUUGUCCUGAAUUUCAUCAAAGGAGUGAGAUACUUAAAAUGCAGCAUGGGGUGUUCUGCUUCAAGAACUAUGGGGGAGUUAACAGAAAAAGGUUUGAAGAUCUCAUUGUGAAGAGAAUGGUGUGUGAUAUUUAUGAGAUGUGCGAGUUCACUGUUCAAUGUAUAUAAUAAUAUAAUACAUAAAAAUAAAUUUUUUUUUUUUUUAAAGACUUCGGCUCUACUUUGCGUGGUCUUCAGGGUUGACUUAAAUACCUAGUCCUUUUCUAUUUUUUGUGAUUCAAGGUAGCUUCCACCCUGUUAGUAUGAAAAUUGUAUUGUCAUUUCCUAGACUCUAGUAUUGGUUAGGAAUUAGUGUGUGAACGUGUUUUACUGGAAGCUUUGGUGCAACACAUUCAUUCUGGAUCUUUGAAGUAUGACAUGAUCGAUAUGAGAAACUGAGUUCAGGUAAAUCAUGACAUAAUCAUGCAUUCAUUAUAGGAUUCCUAGUUGGAGUUAUUUUCAAUCAAGUAUUUUCAUGUUAAUCCUAUUUUUAAUAGGAUUAGAUUUUAUAUCUUGAGAUUACUUUCCUAGUUAAACUCUAUUUUGAUUUAAGUUAAAAUAUUAUAUUGAUACCUAAUUGGUCUCUUUGAUAAAGAUUGUUAUCUUGAAUAACAAUCCUUGCAUAAGUUGACGAAUUGAUUAGUAUUAGUGGGCUGAAUGUUUUUUUACGUUUUUGAUCCUGUGCCCAUUUUUAAAUCACAACAAAUAGUCAUAGUUGAAUAGGUUUAGUGGGUGUUCAUAUUGCAUCAGGUUUAGGAGUCUUAAUUGAAGUGGGUUUGGCAUUUGUGGGAUGCUAUUUGACUAGGCAUAGGGAACCUUGAAUAAAAGGAGGACGCCUCUCCUUGGUUAUGUGGGCUUUUGAUAUUUUGUGUGGAGCAUAUAGAAUUCUAAGGAAAAAGCUGCUGUGCAUUUAUUUGAGAUAAAACAUCAAGUGUUAAACGUUUUACUUGGUGAUUUAUCAAACACUUUAAUCAUUCAUAUCGCAUUCAUAUGCAUAUCGGUGACUGAGAAAGUAGGGGACACCAAGAUCGUUGUGGCGGUCUUUCUCCGGUGAGCUUGAAUCGAUCGUGACCAGUAUCGAAUUCAACAUAAGGAGAGUUGGAAGAACUCCGGCGAGCUUGAAGCAAUCGUGACUAGUAUUGCGUUCAACAUAAAGAGUGUCGAAGAUCAUCCCGUGACAGAAGUUGAGUUACGAAGAAGUCGGUAAACAUUAUCUAGAAUGAGUCUAGGAUAAGUGUGUGAGUACUUCUUGUAAUCAUCGUUCUAUAGUGGAUUUGAGUUGGACUGAGGAGUCCCGUGGAUUUUCCCCAGAGGUAGGGUUUUACCACGUAAAAUAAUUAUCUGCGUGUUCUUUUAUUUUAAGCUUUGCACAUCUCAGGAUUGAUAACUAAUAUCAAUCCUGCUCCAAAGGUUGAUCAUUAUUUAUUGCAAAAAUUCGAAUUAACUUGUUUAACAUUCUCCAGGCAUAUAUAGAUAUCCUACAGGUAUUUUCACACCCUCUUUACCAAACCAACAGAUAUAGAGUUCAUAUUCUGCAAAUUUAACAUCUAGGAAUCUUGAGUAUCCUUGUUAAUCCCAAGUGUGUGUUUGGGGUUUGUCUUUGAUUGUGCAAAACAUUGACAAACAUACAAUUAUAGGCUAGACUUCAUUGUAUCCGUAAGACUUAUUUGCAUAUCCCCUUUGCACACAAACAAUGAGAAAAAAUAAAAUCUGAAAAAUAGCUUAAAUCUUACGUGCCCUUGAAACAAUCUUUCGUACUCUCAUUAUCAUUCCCCAUAAACAUUUCCAUUAAACCACGACCCACAGACCUUGUAUCAACAAAAUUUAGCCAAUCUGUCAUAUUUGAAAAUAACUUCACUGACAUGACUAUGAGAGUGAUGCAUGUCGACACCAUAACUAUAAAUCAAAUAUUAAAAUCCCCACCCACAAGGUAGGUUCUUCUGUACCUGAAAUAUUAAUAAUAUAUGCAAAUUCUUGGAAGUGGUCUUAAUGUCAAUGGGAAAUGCUAGAGAGUUUACUUGCAAGAGGUAUGAACACAUGAUAAAGAACGCAAAAUCCUUGCCAGUUGUGUUUCCUAUUUGUGCCACAUCAUCACUCAUUAUAGGCCAGUCAAAUUAGGUAGACUUCAAAGUCAAAAUACCCUCUACACGCUAUUAAAAGUCAAGUUAUUACCCCCCAAGCCCCGUUAAUCUCGAGAGAUUUUAGGUUCCUAACUCUAUUGAUCAUACAGUAACCGAGCUCUGUUGGCAAUGCGUAUUGCAGACCUGCAUAACAAGAACAUGUCUGAGAGGGAGGGAGAGAAGCAUUUGAGCAUUUGAGCUAGUCGGCAUUCUUUUAUACUUAUAGCACUAAUGUCAAAAGGAGGAAGAUGAAUGAUGUAGCCCGUAGGUUUAGAGUAAACAGCCCGUAGGUUUAGAGUAAACAGUCCGUAAGUUUAGAGUACACGCUUUGAGCAAUAGAACAGAGAAGAAAUAAGGGAUCGAGGAGAAGAAUUAGAGAUCGAAGAGACGAAGGGAAAGGGAAGGAAUCAGAGAGUUUAAAGCAAGGAGAUUUAUCAUUAAUCAAGUCUGCCUUAAAAGAUUACAAACAACUCUAUUUAUAGAGGCAAAAUCCUUUUUAGUCUAGGAAAAGGAAAAGUAAACUUUAAGAAAUAGGAAAGCAAAUUAACUAAUAAGAGAUCCUUUAACAAGAAGGAAUCCUUAAGAAUCAGGAAAACUAAUAAGAGGAAAACUAAUCCAACUAGAAGUAGGAAAACUAAUAAUAUGCAUUCUGCAUCAUUCUCCCCCAUCGAAAAAGAACUCGACACCGACGAGUAAACCAAGAUUAUGGAUGACGACGUCGUUUGUAAGUACGGAUGAUGGGAGGACGGGAUGCAGCCAAAUCCAGAUCAUGAAGAGCAUCUCGAUAACUUUGCAGAAGAGUAGAAUCCAACUGGCAAAAUUCAGCUUCUGUAAUCCAAGUAUCCUCAGUAGCAGGCCUUCCAACCCAACGAACCAGAUAACGGGUAGAACCUCCAGUAGACGAGGCCACAACUUCAUGAUCCAAGACGUCCUCAAUCUGAUCUGUAGGGACAGAACUAGUAAAAGGAAUACGCGGCACCAUAGGAGGAGUGGAACCCUGAGCAACAUCUAUAGAAAUAAGUGGAGAAAAGGUGCCCCGAUAAGGAGAUAAAUCAGAAACAUUGAAAAUGGGACUUAUAUGCAUAUCUGCAGGCAACUCAAUCAAAUAAGCAUUGGACCCAAGCUUCUUAAUGAUACGAUAAGGACCCAUCGAACGAGCAUGAAGCUUCUUGAAAGAGUGCUUAGGAAAACGUUCAGGACAAACCCGCACCAUAACAAAAUCCCCUUCUCGAAACUCCUGUUGACGACGAUGAGCAUUGGCUGCCAGUUUAUAAGUGUCUGUGUGCAUGGAUAUCUGCCUACGGACGUCAUCAUGCAAUUGCCUAAUAUGUUCAGCAAACGACGUAGCAGAAUCUGAGGUGCGGGCAGCCACAGGAAGAGCAACUAAAUCAACAGGUGAUCGGGGAGAAAAUCCAUGAACCACCUCAAAAGGACUCUUACCGGUACUUCGAUUAACUGAGUUGUUAUAAGCAAACUCAGCCACAGGCAACAAGAGAUCCCAAUUGCCAGGUUUAUCCCCAACUAAACAGCGGAGUAAAUCACCAAGGCUGCGAUUAACCACUUCAGUUUGACCAUCUGUUUGGGGAUGGAAAGCAGAAGAAAACUUCAAAGUAGUACCGAAAAGCUUCCACAAAGUCUUCCAAAAAUAACUAACAAAUUUGACGUCACGAUCAGAAACAAUGGAGACAGGGAGGCCAUGCAAACGGACUACUUCCUUAAAAAAUAACUUGGCCACAUAAGAAGCAUCAGUAUUUUUUGCACAAGGCAGAAAAUGUGCCAUUUUAGAAAAACGAUCAACUAUGACAAAGAUAGAGUCAUAGCCGCGACUAGUCUUAGGUAAACCAAGCACGAAAUCCAUACUAAGAUCCUUCCAUGGUGUAUGAGGUAUUGGUAGAGGGGUAUAUAAACCUGUGUUACGCUUGCGAGCUUUAGCUAGCUGGCAUGUGCGACAUUGGGAGAUGAGAUGAGCAACAUCACGUUUUAAUGACGGCCAAUAGAAACGAUCUUCUACCAAGGCAAUAGUCUUAUCUUUGCCAAAAUGUCCUGCGAGGCCGCCACCAUGUAAUUCCCAAACAAGGAAUUCACGGAGAGAAGUACGGGGAAUACAUAAUUGUGUUCCUCGAAAUAAGAACCCAUCCCUCGUAAUAAAGUCUACAUACUCGCGGCGGUUACCAUUGGAAACUUCAUGAAAAAUAAUUCCAAAAUCUGGACAAGAUGAAUACUCAGUCUUAAUGCGAUCAAACCCGGUUACUUGAACUGUCAUUGUGUGCAAAAUAGUAGCCACGCGACUAAGGGCAUCAGCUACCUUAUUGUCAAUGCCUGGACGGUGUCGUAAAACAAAUGUAAAGAUCUGGAGAUAUUCGGACCACUUAACAUGUCGACUGCUAAUGGUUCGUUGAGAGUGGAGAUAUUUCAAAGCUUGAUGAUCUGAAUACAACACAAAUUCGUUUGGCAGUAGGUAAUAUUGCCAAUACCGAAGUGCUUGUACCACAGCAUAAAACUCCUUAUCAUAAGUAGAAUAACGUUGCUUUGCUUCAUUAAGUUUCUCACUAAAGUAUGCUACGGGAUGUCCUUCUUGGCUAAGCACACCACCAAUCCCAACUCCGGAAGCGUCACAUGCGACUUCAAAGACUUUAGAAGAACAGGCGCUUGAGUCAUCUUCUGUUUCAAAAUUGUAAAGGCCUUGGCAGCUGCAUGGGUCCAAAGAAAAGCUCCUUGUUUCAUACAAUCAGUUAUUGGUGCCAUAAUAGUACUGAACCCUGGAAUAAAUCGUCGAUAAAAAGAGGUGAGACCAUGAAAGCUGCGUGCCUCUGUCAAAGUCGUGGGUGUUGGCCAAUCAAUAAUAGCCUCUACCUUGGCAGGAUCUGUGCUAACCCCAGCUGCAGAAAUAUUGAACCCCAAGAAUAAAACUUCAGGUUGAAGAAACGAACAUUUUUUUAAGUUGGCAUAUAGUUUUUCCUUCCGUAAAGUAGAGAAUAUCGUCCUAAGAUGUUGGAGAUGUUCCUCCCGAGAGCGGCUGUAGAUCAGUAUGUCAUCAAAAUAGACUACCAGGAAUUUACCAAUAUAAGGUCGUAACACAUGAGUCAUCACCCGCAUGAAUGUGCUGGGUGCAUUGGACAUGCCAAAGGGCAUCACAAGCCACUCAUAUAAUCCAUCAGGGGUUUUAAACGCGGUUUUCCACUCAUCUCCUUCACGAAUACGAAUUUAAUGAUAGCCACUGCGAAGAUCUAUCUUUGAAAACCAUUGGGAACCCGCCAAAUCAUCCAACAUAUCCUCAAGUCGCGGUAUGGGGAAACGAUACUUAACUGUAAUUUUAUUUACGGCGCGACUAUCUACACACAUUCGCCAGGAGCCAUCCUUUUUGGGGGUAAGGAGGACUGGAACAGCACAAGGACUUAAGCUAUGACGAAUAAAGCCCUUAGCCAGCAAUCCCUGAAUUUGUCGAUUCAAUUCCACUCGCUCAGGUGGAUUCAUACGAUAAUGGGGGAGAUUAGGAAUUUGCGAACCAGGAACAAGGUCAAUUGCAUGCUGAAUCUCUCUUGCUGGAGGUAGGUCGUCGGGUAAGUCAUCAGGUAUGACAUCAGAGAAUUCAGUGAGGAGCUGUUGUAUAGGGUCGGCAAGUGGAGUGGUGUAGUCAGAUGCCAGUUUAAGCAAGAGGGCAAAGACCACACCAGUUUCUUGCAGUUCAUAUGCAAAGUCUACCGGUGAUAAAAGACUCAAUCGAUGCUCCAAAGCCUUCUCUUUAAUUGACAGGUUUGUUUGAACAUCCUUAGUUGGUUUGAUGGCCGGAUUGGAAGGCUUUAACGUUAUGUUCUUUCCUUCAUGUUGAAAAGUAUAGGUGUUCUCCUGGCCGCAACUUUUCACAUGACGAUCAUAAAGCCAAGGCCGGCCUAGGAGCACAUGUGCGACACUCAUAGGUAAGAUAUCACAAUAAAGUUGCUCGUGACAGGGACCCAAUUGAAGAGGAACAAGACAUCUUUGGGUAACAGGUAAUCUGGUUUUAUCAACCCAACCAACAUGAAAAGGAUGAGGGUGUGGCUCGGCCUGAAGGUGAAGGCGAUCAACAGCAGUUUUAGAGAUAACAUUCAGCGUACUUCCCCCAUCAAUAACUAGUUGGCAUCUAUUGGUACCGCAAGGGACAUAGGUUUGAAAGAUACUUGUACGCUUCCAUGAAUCAGGAGGUGGAGAUGUAGGUGUUGAAUAAAUACAACGCAUAACACUCAGUUGGUGAAACGCUUCCUCCUCACAGCAAUUAUCAAGUUCUGGAUCAUAAACAGGUUCAAGGGGCUCCACAUACUCGUCCACACAAGAGUCUUCAUUGAGGGAGCCAAGGGUUAAAGUUCUAUGGGGACAACGGGAGGCGAUGUGGCCCUUAGCGUGGCAACGAUAGCAUUCGAUAUGAGAAGCCAUGGAUGAGGCUGGUCCUUUGUCUGUUGCAGGUAUUGUAGGAGCAAGUGGACCGGCAACGCCAUAUUUAGAGCUAGGAGCACUACGGUUUGGAGUAAGAGUGGAAGAGUGCCUAGAAUGCCCUGUGUAUCGACGUUGUGGACGCAAAAAAGUUUCAGCUUCCAAUGCGUGGCAAUAUGCAUCUUCCAAAGUAUGCGGACGGAACCUCCGAACUUCACGUUUGACAUCGUCACGAAGACCAUGGAUAAAGCGGGACAUGGUGAUGUCGGGUUCUUCACGAAUCCCUGCACGUAUCUUGUGUUCGAUAAAACGAGCAUGGAAAUCAGUAACGGGUAAACUUCCUUGUGAAAGGGUCCAUAAUUGGUCAUACAAUUGAUGGCGAUAAAAGGUGGGAAGAUAUUGUUCGCGAAGCUUUAAUUUCAUCUCGUCCCAGAGAGUCACAGGUGGCUGUCCAAAUUGGUAUAGUUGCUCUUCCACGGAAUUCCAAUAUUGGCGAGCGGCUCCUUGUAGCGUCAUCUUACCAAUGCGAAGCUUAUGAGCAUCCGUCAAAUCAUACCAGGCGAAAUAAUCUUCCAUGGCUUGAACCCAAUCAAGAAACAUCGUGGGAUCCCCACGACCAUCAAAAGUAGGAGCGGUAGGCUUGAUGUGGUGGAUGACAUCGUUGUCAAAAUGGCGAGGGGGAUGAGUGCCGUGAUCAUGUGGGACUGUCGAAGGGCCCGUUGUAUGUUGGGUAUAAUGGGCCGGUGCCAAAGACCCAAAAGAAAAGGGGGGGCUCCAAUUGAGCCUUGGGAUCAUCAAGCGAGAGCCCAGUGGAGCUAGGAGGCAUGCCGUAUGGCACGGCCUUGAGUUUGUGAUCCACCGGUGGAUUGGGCAGAAGGCCACUCUUUGGUGGUGGCGUAGAGGAACUCGAGAGCAAGGCGGAGGUAGAAGAAGGUUCAGCAUGUCCAGCCCGAAAAUGAUUGAUAAGCAACUGAACGGAGUCUUGGAGUUUGGUGAUGGCCAGGUCCGUCUUCGCACGAUGUGUGGAAGCCUGUACCAACUCGUCUUUGAGGUCAAUGCUGAGGUUGGAAAGUUGGGUCUCCAUGCCAGCGAUAUCGUCAGAAACUUUGUCUUGGAACGCAUGAAAUUGUUCGGAAAGGCUGGCCACGGUUUGGGGCGCCAUGGGAGAGAGCAAACGGAAACGAAAGCGAGGGCAGGCUCUGAUUACCAAUUGAUGUAGAACAGCCCGUAGGUUUAGAGUAAACAGUCCGUAAGUUUAGAGUACACGCUUUGAGCAAUAGAACAGAGAAGAAAUAAGGGAUCGAGGAGAAGAAUUAGAGAUCGAAGAGACGAAGGGAAAGGGAAGGAAUCAGAGAGUUUAAAGCAAGGAGAUUUAUCAUUAAUCAAGUCUGCCUUAAAAGAUUACAAACAACUCUAUUUAUAGAGGCAAAAUCCUUUUUAGUCUAGGAAAAGGAAAAGUAAACUUUAAGAAAUAGGAAAGCAAAUUAACUAAUAAGAGAUCCUUUAACAAGAAGGAAUCCUUAAGAAUCAGGAAAACUAAUAAUAGGAAAACUAAUAAGAGGAAAACUAAUCCAACUAGAAGUAGGAAAACUAAUAAUAUGCAUUCUGCAUCAAUGAACUUUGUGGCUCCACUGGUGCCAACAAAAGAAGGCGCAUUGCUGCAACAAACUGCAUUCAAGGUCUGUAGAUAGAUAGAUAGACUGAGAGAAGCAUGGAGAAGCCGGAAGUUGUACAUAGACCGCUCCCCAGUAAAGAUGAAGACAAGGCAAAGAAAAGCAGAAUUGACCAACUUAUAGAUUAGUGAACAAGGAAAUAGCAUAAAACCGAUGAGUACGAAGUGCAAAUCCUUUGUUUAUUAUGUAUUUUGUGUUUAUAUUGGUCAUGUGUCAUUUGCUGAUGGAUGUUGCAUUUUCAAGUACCUUGACAAUGUAAACAAUUUCACAGUACCCAUUUUUUGAUUUAUUCUGACGAAAAAAGCACACACACAUAUAUAAAUAUAUGUAUGUAUAUAGCAAGCUAAGAAUAAGAUGAGUAAAUUACAAAAUGGAGAAGCAUUAGAUUGAGACACUGUUGGGAAUCCCCUUGCCAGUAAGUCCAGCCUCACUAGAAGGAUGAAGCAAAGUGUAUGGCAUCUUGGCCGGUCCAACCCGGUUCUUCAAUUUCUCAUCCUUGUUCAUUCUUUUCAUGUUUUCCUCAAUUUCUUCCAGCUUCUUUCUAAACUUCUUAGAGGCUUGCAAUAUGUCAUUGUCUGCUGUCCAUUCUGGCGCAUCUCUCUGCCCCAAAUAAAGCUCAUCAGCUGAGUGUCUUGACAAGAUUUCUAUGGAGGCCAUGCCAAGAAGGGUCUGCAGCUGAGGUGUAAUUGUUUUCAAAAAUGCCUUUUCAGGGUUUGUCUUGAGCUCCUCAUACUCAGGAGUGCCUUCUUCGGGCAUGAACUGCAGGCUUAUGCUUGGCCGGUUUGGGGGGUAUCCACCAAAAGGGUAUUGCCCAAAAUUGAUUGCUGCAUGAUGGGCUGAAGCAAUCCAUAUGAUGAUGGUGCAUGAUUCUAUCAGCUCUUCACAAGUCUGCAUUUUAGGCCACCAUGGCUCAUCUUUUUUGUCACCAUGACCUUCCUCUCUGAGUUCCUUCCACCAGGACUGAAGUUCUGAGUCCUUUUGAACCAUUUCAUCAGUUUUAUAGUAGAAGGAGCAAUAGUCCUUAACCCAUGUUUUAAUUGCAGACCAGAUCUCAAGCCCAUCAGCAGCAUAUGGAUAGUCCUCUAUCAGUAAGCGUACACCAUGUGAGGAAUUUGGAUCUUCAACUGCCAUUCCUCUGAACAGAGAAAAGAUUAAAUAAAUAAUGGCCAUCAAUCCUAUCAUCUUUGUUAUUUUUGAGUUUAAACAAUAGUGACAACAUUUAUCAAAUCAUUUAGACCAAAUUUUAUUCAUACAUAUGGCAUUGUGUCUUAGCUCUUAUUUCCUCAAAGGGCAUGCUUUUCCAUUUCAAUUGUGUUGAAUCUGUUACCAUAAUUCGGAAAUGAUAAAUGUUACUAUCAGAAGAUUUUACCUUUUGAUCAGAUCUAUGGGGAGCGCUUGUUCAGGAAAAACCCAGCUCUUAUACAUUACAGAAGACCAUUCCAUUGAGAACUUUGCAGGAAAGACUGUUGCCUCUAGUAUUCCUCCAGCAUUAAUGAGAACCUGUCGAGCGACUGCAUUUACAUUCAUAGUGUCACGAAAGUGAGGAUGCAGAAGCUUAUGAAUUGGGUGCAGCACGCUCAACUGCCUAUUUGUGGCUAUCACAAAUGGUUCCAUCACCGCAUGAGUUCUCAACCUGCAACAAAACAAGAACAUUUCAAGAUGCAUUUGGGAGAAAUAAAAAGGUUAUGAAUUUAUUUGCUAGGAUUUCUUUAACAUUGUUAUACCAGUGGCUGAUGAGCUGAUGAUAGCCAGAGUCAUUUACAUUCACAUAAGCUUUAGCAAGUUGCCAAAUGGAACUCUCGACACCCUGGCUAGACGGAGUAUAGACUUUGCUAAUGCAGCCAAAUUGAUCUCCACCAGGAUGUGGCAAGCUUAACUCAAUAGCUAAUGGCUUCAAAGUCCCAUCAUUCUCUAAGAAAAGGAGUGUCCUGCUUGCAUAAGUUUUUGUGGAAGUUGUGUUUAUACGCCUCAGGUACGGCAUCAAUGCAUCAUGGUGGUCUAAUAUGAAUAGCUUCUUGUUCUUGAUU